UAACGACUCUCGGCAACGGAUAUCUCGGCUCUCGCAUCGAUGAAGAACGUAGCGAAAUGCGAUACUUGGUGUGAAUUGCAGAAUCCCGUGAACCAUCGAGUCUUUGAACGCAAGUUGCGCCCGAAGCCCUCGGGCUAAGGGCACGUCUGCCUGGGUGUCACGC
rnacentral:rRNA from 1 species